CUGUGUGUUGGUUCUUCAGGUGCAACCAAAUGGUUAUCUGCAACCGGUGACAUUUGAGACUGGUCCUGUUCGGCGAGAGGAGGAAGUGUAUGGUUUUCUAUUUCCGCAAGAGGAUUUCUUCACGCCAACAAUGUAUUGUCCAGGAAACGUCAUUGGAGGAGAAAGCCCAUUGGGAAACUGGGUGCAUGAUAUUCCUUUUCAUUCAUUUGGUCGUUUCGGAUCACCUAUAUUCAACCAAAGUGGUCAUCUUGUUGGGAUAUCUUAUCAAAACAUGGACGCAUUGUCUGUGAAGUUCCUACAGUUAGCUGUGUUGAGUGAAGCAGAGAUCAGCAGUGUAUUGGGUAGUGUUUCCUAUGUGCUGAACGGAAACCCAAUACCACCCGAAGUCCCAAUUC